rnacentral:rRNA from 1 species
GAAAGCAUUUGCCAAGGACGUUUUCAUUAAUCAAGAACGAAAGUUAGGGGAUCGAAGAUGAUCAGAUACCGUCGUAGUCUUAACCAUAAACUAUGCCGACUAGGGAUCGGGCGUUGUUCUUUUUAUGACUCGCUCGGCACCUUACGAGAAAUCAAAGUUUUUGGGUUCUGGGGGGAGUAUGGUCGCAAGGCUGAAACUUAAAGGAAUUGACGGAAGGGCACCACCAGGAGUGGAGCCUGCGGCUUAAUUUGACUCAACACGGGAAAUCUCACCAGGUCCAGACACAAUAAGGAUUGACAGAUUGAGAGCUCUUUCUUGAUUUUGUGGGUGGUGGUGCAUGGCCGUUCUUAGUUGGUGGAGUGAUUUGUCUGCUUAAUUGCGAUAACGAACGAGACCUUAACCUACUAAAUAGUGCUGUUAGCUUCGGCUGAACUGGCACUUCUUAGAGGGACUAUCGAUUUCAAGUCGAUGGAAGUUUGAGGCAAUAACAGGUCUGUGAUGCCCUUAGACGUUCUGGGCCGCACGCGCGCUACACUGACGGAGCCAGCAAGUACUAUCCUUGGCCGAAAGGUCCGGGUAAUCUCGUGAAACUCCGUCGUGCUGGGGAUAGAGCAUUGAAAUUAUUGCUCUUCAACGAGGAAAUUCCUAG